GUCCUUGUUUUGGCAGCAUAAAUACUAAAAUUAGAAUGGUAUAGAGAUCAACAUGGCUCCUACUCAAGGAUGACAUGCAAAUUUGUGAAGUAUUCCAUGUUCUU
rnacentral:snRNA from 1 species